rnacentral:misc_RNA from 1 species
UCUCCGUUGGUGAACCAGCGGAGGGAUCAUUACCGAGUACUAUAACUCAUAACCCUUUGUGAACCUUUAUACCUGUUGCUUCGGCGGCGCGCCCCCCGGGGCGUGCCCGCCGGUAUCAUCAGAAUCUCUGUUUGAACCCGACGAUACAUCUGAGUGUUCUAAGCGAACUGUUAAAACUUUCAACAACGGAUCUCUUGGCUCCA